rnacentral:lncRNA from 1 species
CAUACAUAUAUAUAUAUAUAUAGUUGAGCUAGAAUACUAUCGAUAGCAAACGGGCUCCGUUGCCACCCAUUUGUUUUCGAUAAUGAAACCUCCAAAUCGACAAUCGGUACCGUUGAACAUGAUCUAUAUCACUUGAAGUAUCUAGAAACUAAAUUUCAAAUCUUUUCGAAAUCAUUGACCUAAUGAUCAAAGGGUUUCAAAAUUUAUAAUUUAAUGGUCGAUAUGAGACGUUUUCUCGUUUAACUGUGUAAAGCUAUCCAAAUCAAUUAAAUUUUUGUUAGAAAAUUCUUUAAACUACUUAGAACAAGAUCUAUACUUUUGAUCUUCAUUACAAAAUUUCUAUCAUCAAUUUUUAAAGGAUAUUCAUUUUCAGCCGUUCAUUUUUACGCCCAUUUGAUGAACAAGAGAACAAUAUCGAAAAAGCAUGAAAUUUAAUUUCUAAAUACUUUAAGUGGUAUAGAUCAUUUUCAACGUUACCGAUCGUUAAUUUAGAGGCUCCAUCAUCGAAAAAAAAUGGGUGACAACGAAGCCCGUUUGCUAUCGAUAGUAUUUCAGCUCAACUCUAUAUAUAUAUAUCUCCUUGAAUUUUUAAAUUAUUGCGUUCAGCGAUGUCAUGGGAUUUGACUUUUCAAUUUAUGAUUAGUUGUUGAAUAAGAGGACUAGUUAAUUAAUUAAGAUGGGAUUUUUUUUAAUAAAAAAUUAAAGGGGGAUUUGAGGUUAUGAAAUUCCUGAUGGGAUUGGAGUAGUUUAUAGUGGAAACUGAAUACUUUAUAAUGGAAAAGGAAUAGGUCGG